AUCCAGAAGGAGAGCAAUGCCGGGACGCAGGUGACGGUGAGCUCCCCGCUCGUCGCGGGCCGCGUCAUCGCCGCGGUUGCCGCGGCGAUCUC
rnacentral:sRNA from 1 species